rnacentral:rRNA from 1 species
AUUGAACGCUAGCGGGAUGCCUUACACAUGCAAGUCGAACGGCGUGGCGAACGGGUGGGUAAUGUAUCGUGACGUACCCGGUAGCGGGGGAUAACUACGCGAAAGCGUAGCUAAUACCGCAUACUAUUGGAGCGGCCUAUAUCGGAUCAGCUAGUGGGUGGGGGAACGGCUUACCAAGGCGAUUAUCCGUAGCUGGUUUAAGAGGACGACCAGCCACACUGGGACGGAGACACGGCCCAGACUCCUACGGGAGGCAGAAGUGGGGAAUUUUGGACAAUGGGGGAAACCCUGAUCCAGCCAUCCCGCGUGUGUGAUGAAGGUCUUCGGGUUGUAAAGCACUUUUGUCAGGAAAGCGGUACCUGCAGAAGAAGCACCGGCUAACUACGUGCCAGCAGCCGCGGUAAUUC